GGGCAUUUGGUAUAGUAGUAUGAUUCUCGCUUUGGGUGCGAGAGGUCCCGAGUUUGAUUCUCGGAAUGCCCC
rfam:Lupinus angustifolius cultivar Tanjil contig_43812, whole genome shotgun sequence.